rnacentral:tRNA from 1 species
GGUCCCAUCGUCUAGCGGCCCAGGACGUCGCCCUCUCACGGCGAAAACGGGGGUUCGAGUCCCCCUGGGAUCACCA